GAUGAACGCUGGCGGCGUGCCUAAUACAUGCAAGUCGAGCGGUAAGGCCCUUCGGGGUACACGAGCGGCGGACGGCUGAGUAACACGUAGGAACAUACCCCAAAGUGAGGGUUAAGCACCAGAAAUGGUGUCUAAUACCGCAUGUGCUCUAAGGAGUAAAGCUUCGGCGCUUUGGGAAUGGCCUGCGUCCGAUUAGCUUGUUGGUGAGGUAAUAGCUCACCAAGGCGACGAUCGGUAGCUGGUCUGAGAGGAUGAUCAGCCAGACUGGGACUGAGACACGGCCCAGACUCCUACGGGAGGCAGCAGUAGGGAAUUUUCCACAAUGGGCGAAAGCCUGAUGGAGCAGCGCCGCGUGCAGGAUGAAGGCCUUAGGGUUGUAAACUGCUUUUAUAUGUGACGAUUAUGACGGUAGCAUAUGAAUAAGGAUCGGCUAACUCCGUGCCAGCCGCCGCCGUAACAC
rnacentral:rRNA from 1 species